CACGGAACAAAAGGCCUACAGCACGACUCUGUAAAGAUGAAGAGCAGAUAAAAUGGAUGAAGACAGCGAUGACAACACAGCAGCAGGAGGAGGACUGUCUGUAACCAAGUCUGUACUAUCUGUAGCCAACGAGACAGGGAUACCUGAACUCGCACUUGUGUUAAAGGGACUAUUUGUAACUUUCAGAAAUGCUUCUUAACAGCGACACCUGUGGCCGUG